rnacentral:rRNA from 1 species
UAACUUUCGAUGGUAGGAUAGAGGCCUACCAUGGUGGUAACGGGUAACGGGGUGUUAGGGCACGACACCGGAGAGGGAGCCUGAGAAACGGCUACCACAUCCAAGGAUGGCAGCAGGCGCGCAAAUUACCCAGUCCCGACACGGGAGGUAGUGACAAUAAAUAACAAUACGGGGUUCUUUUGGAUCUCGUAAUUGGAAUGAGUACAAUUUAAAUCUCUUAACGAGGAACAAUUGGAGGGCAAGUCUGGUGCCAGCAGCCGCGGUAAUUCCAGCUCCAAUAGCGUAUAUUAAAGUUGUUGCAGUUAAAAAGCUCGUAGUUGAAUUUCGGGGUUAGUAGGUUGGUCAUGCCUCUGGUAUGUACUGGUCUCACUGAUUCCUCCUUCCUGAUGAACCGUAAUGCCAUCAAUUUGGUGUUGCGGGGAAUUUGGACUGUUACUUUGAAAAAAUUAGAGUGUUUAAAGCAAGCUAACGCUUGAAUACAUUAGCAUGGAAUAAUGAAAUAGGACGUUCGAUCCUAUUUUGUUGGUUUCUAGGAUUGACGUAAUGAUUAAUAGGGAUAGUUGGGGGCAUUAGUAUUCAAUUGUCAGAGGUGAAAUUCUUGGAUUUAUUGAAGACUAACUACUGCGAAAGCAUUUGCCAAGGAUGUUUUCAUUAAUCAAGAACGAAAGUUAGGGGAUCGAAGACGAUCAGAUACCGUCGUAGUCUUAACCAUAAACUAUGCCGACUAGGGAUCGGAUGAUGUUAAUUUUUUAAUGACUCAUUCGGCGCCUUACGGGAAACCAAAGUGUUUGGA